GCCGAGCCCAUUUCGAACUUUGUUUGAAACACACAGUCAGUUGAAGCCGUUGAAGAACAGCGUGAAGAUGGAACCUGCUACUGAGCACAUCAACUCUUAAGUGUGUCCCUGGAAGAUCUACCAUCAACUUCCAGAACUGCAACUGCUAGUACUGUCAGAUGGUGAAUGCUACUCAGGCAAACACCAUUGUUACACCACUUUGAAGGAGAGCCUGGUCAUUUGGUCCCCUCAGCUUCUCCCUUUCUCAGUGAUAUGUUCAUUGUGGCUGGGAUAAUUGUGGGGCACUCUUUCCUUCAUGGAGGACCCUGCUUGUCUGGACUCUGUGAUGUGGUUGUCCAUACUGCUUCGUGGGAGCCCAGACACGGCUACAGUAAACCUGGAGGACUGUGCAG